CUUUUAUUUUGAAGGUGCAAAGGUGGAUAUGGACCCCGUCAGACACAGACACGGGAGGUGACUCGGGCCAGGUGGGGCGCAAGGACGGCAGCCCAAAACGACGGAGGCCAGGUGCCGCAGGGAGCCUCGGAGGGGCGAAGCCGCGUGCCGACGAGCGUUCCGAGAAGG